rnacentral:rRNA from 1 species
CCUACGGGCGUCAGCAGUGGGGAAUAUUGGACAAUGGGCGAAAGCCUGAUCCAGCCAUGCCGCGUGUGUGAAGAAGGCCUUCGGGUUGUAAAGCACUUUCAGUGGGGAAGAAAGCCUUGGGGCUAAUACCCUCGAGGAAGGACAUCACCCACAGAAGAAGCACCGGCUAACUCCGUGCCAGCAGCCGCGGUAAUACGGAGGGUGCGAGCGUUAAUCGGAAUUACUGGGCGUAAAGCGCGCGUAGGCGGUCUGAUAAGCCGGUUGUGAAAGCCCCGGGCUCAACCUGGGAACGGCAUCCGGAACUGUCAGGCUAGAGUGCAGGAGAGGAAGGUAGAAUUCCCGGUGUAGCGGUGAAAUGCGUAGAGAUCGGGAGGAAUACCAGUGGCGAAGGCGGCCUUCUGGACUGACACUGACGCUGAGGUACGAAAGCGUGGGUAGCAAACAGGAUUAGAUACCCCUGUAGUC